AUCCUAAUUAUUUGAUUUUUUUAAUGACUUUUUUCAAUUUGGAGGGGGAAAAAGAAAGAAAUAAAAAGC
rnacentral:ribozyme from 14 species